rnacentral:rRNA from 1 species
UACGUAGGGGGCGAGCGUUGUCCGGAUUCAUUGGGCGUAAAGAGCUCGUAGGCGGCUUGGCAAGCCGGGUGUGAAAACUCCAGGCUCAACCUGGAGACGCCACCCGGGACUGCUAUGGCUAGAGUCCGGUAGGGGAUCACGGAAUUCCUGGUGUAGCGGUGAAAUGCGCAGAUAUCAGGAGGAACACCAAUAGCGAAGGCAGCUCGCUGGGACGGUACUGACGCUAAGGCGCGAAAGCGUGGGGAGCGAACAGG